CCUACGGGAGGCAGCAGUGAGGAAUAUUGGUCAAUGGGAGAGAUCCUGAACCAGCCAAGCCGCGUGAGGGAAGACGGCCCUCUGGGCUGUAAACCUCUUUUGUCGGAGAACAAAACCCGGGACGUGUCCCGGACCGCGUCUAUCCGAAGAAAAAGCAUCGGCAAACUCCGCCCCAGCCGCCGCGGUAAUACGGGGGAUGCGAGCGUUAUCCGGAUUUAUUGGGUUUAAAGGGUGCGUAGGCGGUCCGUUAAGUCAGCGGUAAAAUUGCGGGGCUCAACCCCGUCGAGCCGUUGAAACUGGCAGACGUGAGUUGGCGAGAAGUACGCGGAAUGCGCGGUGUAGCGGUGAAAUGCAUAGAUAUCGCGCAGAACUCCGGUUGCGAAGGCAGCGUACCGGCGCCAGACUGACGCUGAGGCACGAAAGCGUGGGGAGCGAACAGGAUUAGAUACCCCUGUAGUC
rnacentral:rRNA from 1 species